AGCAGGGUGGCUCAGUGGGAAGAGCACGGGCUCUGGAGUCAGAGAUCAUGGGUUCAAAUCCCGGCUCUGCCA
rfam:Ornithorhynchus anatinus chromosome 2, whole genome shotgun sequence.